CAGAUCUGCAACAGAUCUGUUAAAUCCUGUUGUCAACAAGCCGAUAUCUGGAUGCGUUCGCUCGCCUUGUACCUGUCUGUUCUGACAGACCUGCAACGGCCUGUCAACAGGUCUGUUACAAGCUGUUGUGACAGAGCUGCUGCAAUGCUGUUUUCAACAGGUCUGUUACAAGCUGUUGUGACAGAGCUGCUGCAAUGCUGUUUUCAACAGGUCUGUUACAAGCUGUUGUGACAGAGCUGCUGCAAUGCUGUUUUCAACAACUUGCGACAGACCUGUUGCAAACCGAGGAAAGCGCCUUAUGAAGCUUGUGUAUCCACUAUUUUGAACAAAAAACGGCCAAACAGGUUGCCAUAUUUCGGUUGUAGUGUUUCGUGAAAAAGAAGUUUGAAAUAUAAAGUUUUAUAAACAAACUUGCGAGAUAAUUUUUAUAUAUGAAUAUAAAGUUUUAUAAACAAACUUGCGAGAUAAUUUUUAUAUAUGAAUAUAAAGUUUUAUAAACAAACUUGCGA